GACGAACGCUGGCGGCGUGCUUAACACAUGCAAGUCGAACGGAAAGGCCCUGCUUUUGUGUGGUGCUCGAGUGGCGAACGGGUGAGUAACACGUGAGUAACCUGCCCUUGACUUUGGGAUAACUUCAGGAAACUGGGGCUAAUACAGGAUAGGAGCUCCUGCUGCAUGGUGGGGGUUGGACAGUUUCGGCGGAUGGGGAUGGACUCGCGGCUUAUGAGCUUGUUGGUGGGGUAGUGGCUUACCAAGGCUUUGACGGGUAGCCGGCCUGAGAGGGUGACCAGCCACAUUGGGACUGAGAUACGGAGCAGACUCCUACGGGAGGCAGCAGUGGGGAAUAUUGCACAAUGGGCGGAAGCCUGAUGCAGCAACGCCGCGUGCGGGAUGACGGCCUUCGGGUUGUAAACCGCUUUAGCCUGUGACGAAGCGUGAGUGACGGUAAUGGGUAAAGAAGCACCGGCUAACUACGUG
rnacentral:rRNA from 1 species